AAGGAAAAGGGAGGAGAGAGUGAGCUGCAUGACUCAGAGCUCAGCAGCGAGGAGACACUGUAUUCUGCAUGCAAGAGGAGCAGCGGAGGCAGUGCUAAAGGAUUGCUAAGGAGGAAUAUGGAGCAAACACAGAAGGGGCUGGAGCAGAAGUAAGCUGUCACUGGACAGGCAAAGGACGGCGUGAGGAUGGAGGCUGCCAUGCUGGCGGGAAGUGAGAAAUAGGCCAAGUGAAUCAGCUUGCUGGAGGGUGAGUUUAGGAACUUAAGUGUUUAGUAUGACUGAAGGUGGCUGAGGGAAGGUUGAGUGAAGGUUUGCAGCAAGGACUGUGGAUGGGGAGCUUCAAAGGUCAAGAGGGCUGUGUUAAUGAACGAUUGCUUCAUUUCCCACUGGAGAAGUCCAGAGUAACCAUCUCCCAGCUUAAGGGAGAAGGCAAACCGGAGGGCUGCAAAUGAGAGAGAAAGCUUUUUUAAGACUGACCACGGGAGAUGAAGGUAGAGAAAAAGUGACAUAAGUCUCAGCAAACUUAACGAUUUAACCAAAAAAAUGCAGAAACAGUUGAAAAAAAGGAGGAUUAUUCAUCAUGAAGACCGGAAAUCUCAACUGUGAUACAAAUACGUCACAAGGUACCUGUUAAAGAUUUUUGACAAGCCAAUCUGGAAAGAACUUGUGCAACUGCUUUUUUUUUUAUUCUACUGGAUUUUUAAAGCUCAGACAACCUGCGUCACACGAUGGCCAUAAAGAAAGCUGCCGCCUCACGUUGACACAAGAUCCCAACAAAGUAGCCAGAGUUGGCUUCUUGGGUCAGCUAUGAAGCCCCUCGGAGACACUGGAAUGACUAAAAGGAGAAAAGCUGGAUGUUGACGUGGAACAGCCAAAUCGAAAGGAAGAAUCCAUUUCCACGAAACAAUGUGAUCGCCUUCCUCCUUUCGCUUGAGGAUAAUAGAGAUGAACAUGCUGGACUGAAAUGCUACUCUGAAUCUCUGUCAGGUGAGAUUAGCUGAUGUCCCUGAGGCUUAUGUUAUAAUUAUCUUGUCCUGGAGUGAUUGGAGCAAUUCCUGAUCUCAGAAAAUGGCCACGUUACAGAGAUUUGGCAGGUGGAGGACCUCUUGAGCACACACGCGAGGAGAUUCUUUAAUCAGCGUCGGCGCAAAGGGUUGCUGGACGGGUGGCGAACUUGUGCUCUUUGCUUUUGUCUCUAAGGUAGUUAAUGUCACCAGGGUGUUAAGUUAGAAACUGUCCAGUCUCUGACUGGACGACACAGUGCCACGCUCCCCGUUCAGCUGUGGACAAACCGGCUGUGUGUUAAUGUGGGGCACCCGUUAUGGCUUAACCGUUUCCUUUUGCACAUAUGUGGGUGUGACUAUCGAUUAGCGUGUGCUCACACUGAGCGUUGAAGACGGCUGUGUCAGACUGUGUGAGCGUCUGCAUGGAUUCUCCUCGCCAGUGACAGACCUGGACCAGAACAGCAGCGGGUGGAAGGGGGAAAGGGAGGCGAAGGAAAAGGAGAAGGAGCAAGAGGAGGUGACAGAAACACAAAGGACGGAGAGGGGGGAAACGCAACGAAAAUGCUCAGAUAAAGAGAAGAAACAAAGGAGUCUUUGGCUGCCACCCUGGUGCGAUGUGUGGCACUGUGCCCUCUGGUGGUGGGGUUCUGUGAUGGUAACCAUGAUACCCGGAAGCCACUAUGUCUGCAGCGCUCACAGCAGAGAGGAUGACUCAACUAAUGACCGCGAAGAGCGAAUUUUAGCUGUGCUGGGCAUCAUCGGGACCAUCCUAAAUCUGUUGGUGGUUAUAUUCGUCUACAUCUACACCUCCGUCACCUGAGGGUUCCCACAGGACCUCGACGAAAGAUGCUGGUGCCAAAGCCUCCUCCUGCCGCUGCAUCCCCGCCUCUGGAAGUAGUCGCGUACUUUUAGAGGGUUUGCUUCACUGGCUGUUGACAUGCAAAGUUUAGACAUCUGCAGGAACUCUAACUCCACUGCAGCAUGUAGGACAACGAUGGGGUGUUAAACCAAAACUGUGUUUUCACAUUUUAUAAAUAUUCACAUCUGUAAUACCCUAGUAAUCAAGGCGGAAAAACAGGUUUUUGCUCUGAAAUCUGACUUUGAGGCCUAAUCCUUGCUGUGGAAAUGCUAAGCUUUGAGCUUUUUUCUGUAUUUUUGAAAGAGUUGAGGUCAUCACUGCCACUGGAACUGCCAGCCAAUGUUACAAUCCCAUAGGAGCAACAGGAGAGCUCUUAGCUAACUGGAGAAAAUUAGAAGAUAGCGCCAUUACUUUUUUUGACACCAAACUGUCAAAAACUAAACCAGUAGCAGAACGCUUUGAGUCAAAUGGCACCUAAACAUCUCCUCAAACUGUACAUUUGUGUAAUUUAAGAAAGUAUAGCCAUUCCUAUAAGAAUAUCCAUUCCUUUUCAUUUUGUGGAGUUCAAGAAUUUAGUUUUACAUGGAACUGACGUGUCCGCACCUGAGCACACCUGAGGAGAGAUUCCUGGCUGUGCUGGGAGUCAUUGGGAUUGUCUUAAACCUGCUACUGCUUAUCUUUGUGUAUAUUUACACCUCCAUUUGAUGGAGCCUUGUAAAUAUGUAUUUCAAUUCGUCUUCUUCUUAUGGUGGCUUUUGAGAUUACUUGCACAUCUUCAGAUCAUUCAAAUUUUCAUAUUGCAACCACAAUUGUAAAUUUUAAAAAAUAUAUAAAAAAUUAGCUUGGUUCAUAAGUAAUAUCAGGUGAAUUUUAUGUGGAAUUGAGCUAAUAUGAAAGUGUUGGUUAUUUUAAUGAAAAAGCAAUGAUAUAGAGAGUUUUAGCAGGGAGACACUUUCUUUGUUUGGACUUCUCGACAGUGUCGACCUAUUCUCUGCAGUUUGUAUUUUUAUGAUCCAGAGCUUCAUGUGUGGUCAGUAAACUGUCUACCUAUGUUUGCAUUGCCUCAGUGAAAUAUUUUUUCACAAAAUUGGACCAAAAUUGAAAUAAACGCUAGUUUUCUAUUUCUUCUACAUGCUUACUGACACUGAAAUCAGGAAAAAAAAAAUAAAAAGUUACAAAAUUCUGUUGGUGAUUUGAUCCAUGCAGAAAACCUGCAUAUCAUUGAAGAUCACUCUGCUAAUGUUGGCUGUCACAGAGUGACGGGUAUUUUUAUGCUGUCACGUUUAUUUGAUUGGAUUAGAGACCCAGACAUGGAGGAGCGGCAUCGGAGAGAGCAGGCCCUGAAACUGAGGCAAAGCCACUUGGAUUUAGACAGCAGACAGUUAUGGCUGACCUCAAACAAAGUCGAAGAGGAGCGGCGGACAAAAGGAGGACAUAAAAACUUCGUGAAGGAGUCCACUAUCUGCUGCAAAACCAACGAGGGGGUUAAGAACCCGUUUCACUAUGCUGGAGCGACGUACCUAAACAGAUGUGAGUUUAGGUUGAAGCAACGCAUAUCUAAUGUUGAAGUGGACCCAAACACAGCUGACAGGAGAGCAGCACAGACUGGGCUGAAUCUGCACCACAUCCUGGUCGUUCUUUUCUCCACCAACAAACUAACGCCUGAGAAGACAUAAAAACUCAUCCAUUCCUGCUGCUGCUUUACAAACUGUUGUUAAGGAAACAGAUACAAUAAAAAAAAAAAAAAAAACAACUGCCCAUGUGUCUAUGUGCAAUUUAACAUGUUGGCUCAUGUGGAAAAGUGUUACGAUUUUUGAGUAAUUCUGUUAAAUUGUUGUCACGCAGUGUACUGUCUCUCUGCAGUUUCCCCUUUGUUUCUUUGGUUUACAAAUCCAGAGACCAGCAGCGUUGAACGAAGUUUGGACUGAAAGUGACAAUAUAUUUUUAUAAGGUGUUGAAGGUUCAAUGGGAACACCAUAGACAAAGAACAUUACAGAUAUUCAUGUGAAUGUUUAGAACAUAUACAUUUAGUUAUUUAACUUUAUCCCCCCCCCCAAAAAAAAAA